rnacentral:lncRNA from 1 species
AAGCAUCUGCUGUGCUUUCUCAAGAGGGAGGGGCAGGCGAUCUCCCAGGCAGCAAGACAGCUGCUCCUCCGGGGGGAUGUGUCCUGAGGCCAUAGGCUGGCAGUGGGGGGGGGGGGCCUCACCACAUGGCAUUUCCCUGCCUUGUGCUGGGAUGCUAGCAGUGCCGAGCUAACCUCCGGGUGUGGCCUGUGCCCCAGGAGGAGACCAGACCCCAGGACAUCGAAGCGUCAUUUCCAUUCCCUGAGGACCUUCUCCCCACGGCAUGUAAUUGCUCGCUCCCUGGUUCCGUACUUGGUGGCACUGCCUGGAAAAUGGUGUGGGAAUAAGAAGCAAAACAAAACCCAAAUCUAUGGCAGGGGUAGGGAGGGACCCCUAAUAGUUCACCUUGGAAUCUUAGGUUCAGUCCCAUUAACUGAUCCAAAGCUUGAAAGGAGGGAGGCAGAGGCACACCCAGGUCACUAUCAAGUCCUGUUUGAUUUCUUUUUCUUUUUUUUUUUUUUGUCUCCUAAACAUUCUCAAACCCUUGCACUUCUCACCGCCUCCCCACGCCCGAGUCCAAGCCCCUUGCUCCUCAUCACGCUGUCUGGACGUCUGGACAGGGCAGGGGCCUCUAGCCUCCCCAGUCCUGCUGUGCCCUGGCCCCAGGCUCUGUGGUUCUUUCUCUUCUCCUUUCUUCAUUGUUUACUCUUUCUCUUCCUUGGAGGAUCAGUCCAAGUGUCGUCCCCCGCAGGCUGGCUCAGGCCUGUUUACUGGUGGGUGAAUCCUCCCCGCGUGGGUAUUCCCGGCAGGAUUGUCUCUCCUCAAAAGCAGUGAUCGCAGGUACACGUGCAGUGGUUUCCGUGUGGCUGGCCAGUGCCCGUUUCUUGCACCAAACUGUGAUUUCCGUAUUUGCUAGGAUGGGGCCUGGCUUUGCUCACCAGCCUACCUUCUGCACAGCGUUUGCCGGAUGUGCUGUUUUCCCUCAAUUGAAUCACCGACAACAUCUAACCGCAGCGCUCAUCUCUUUCCUCCAAGCGUUCGGUUUGGAUGGAGUUGAUUGAACAAGCCACUCAGCCAAUUUAAAUCUUU